rnacentral:rRNA from 1 species
UACGUAGGGGGCAAGCGUUGUCCGGAAUCAUUGGGCGUAAAGAGCGUGUAGGCGGUCCGGUCAGUCGGUUGUGAAAGUCAAGGGCUCAACCCUUGAAUGCCGGCCGAUACUGCCGGGCUAGAGUCCGGAAGAGGUGAGUGGAAUUCCUGGUGUAGCGGUGAAAUGCGCAGAUAUCAGGAGGAACACCAGUGGCGAAGGCGGUGCUCUGGGCCGGAACUGACGCUGAUGAGCGAAAGCGUGGGGAGCAAACAGG